AACAAGGCGUACCUGCGGACCUGCGGAAGGAUCAUUACCGAGUUUACAACUCCCAAACCAUUGUGAAUCUUACCUUUUCGUUGCUUCGGCGGGCUCGCCCCGGGCGCCAUCGUGUGCCCCGGAACCAGGCGCCCGCCGGGGGACCUAAACCCUGUCGUUUAGUGGUAUUUCUGAGUGGAUUAGCAAAUAAUCAAAACUUUCAACAACGGAUCU
rnacentral:misc_RNA from 1 species